GAUCAUGGCUCAGGAUGAACGCUAGCUACAGGCUUAACACAUGCAAGUCGGGGGGCAGCGGGAUUGAAGCUUGCUUCAAUUGCCGGCGACCGGCGCACGGGUGAGUAACGCGUAUCCAACCUUCCGUACACUCAGGGAUAGCCUUUCGAAAGAAAGAUUAAUACCUGAUGGUAUGAUGAGAUUGCAUGAUAGCAUCAUUAAAGAUUUAUCGGUGUACGAUGGGGAUGCG
rnacentral:rRNA from 1 species